UACGGAGGGUGCAAGCGUUAUCCGGAUUUAUUGGGUUUAAAGGGUGCGUAGGCGGUCAUAUAAGUCAGCGGUGAAAUCCGGCAGCUCAACUGUCGAUGUGCCAUUGAUACUGUAUGACUUGAGUACUGAUGAGGUAGGCGGAAUUGACGGUGUAGCGGUGAAAUGCUUAGAUAUCGUCAAGAACACCGAUAGCGAAGGCAGCUUACUAAGCAGUAACUGACGCUGAGGCACGAAAGUGUGGGGAUCAAACAGG
rnacentral:rRNA from 1 species